UACGAUGGGGGCAAGUGUUGUUCGGAAUCACUGGGCGUAAAGGGAGCGUAGGCGGGCGCUUAAGUGGGAUGUUUAAAACCGGGGCCCAACCCCGGAGCGGCAUUCCAAACUGGGCGUCUUGAAUAGGGGAGAGGUCGAUGGAAUUGGAGGUGUAGCGGUGGAAUGCGUAGAGAUCUCCAAGAACACCGAUUGCGAAGGCAGUCGACUGGACCCAUAUUGACGCUGAGGCUCGAAAGCAUGGGGAGCAAACAGG
rnacentral:rRNA from 1 species